CGGGUGGUCAGUGCCCUCCCCAUCCAGCACCAGGACUGGAUGAGUGGCAAGGAGUUCAAAUGCAAGGUCAACAACAAAGACCUCCCAUCACCCAUCGAGAGAACCAUCUCAAAAAUUAAAGGGCUAGUCAGAGCUCCACAAGUAUACAUCUUGCCGCCACCAGCAGAGCAGUUGUCCAGGAAAGAUGUCAGUCUCACUUGCCUGGUCGUGGGCUUCAACCCUGGAGACAUCAGUGUGGAGUGGACCAGCAAUGGGCAUACAGAGGAGAACUACAAGGACACC
rnacentral:lncRNA from 1 species